AAACCAGCACCUCAAGUGGUCAGGAUGAUUAUUGGGCCUAAAGCAUCCGUAGCCGGCUCUGUAAGUUUUCGGUUAAAUCUGUACGCUCAACGUACAGGCUGCCGGAAAUACUGCAGAGCUAGGGAGUGGGAGAGGUAGACGGUACUCGGGAGGAAGGGGUAAAAUCCUUUGAUCUUUCGAUGACCACCUGUGGCGAAGGCGGUCUACCAGAACACGUCCGACGGUGAGGGAUGAAAGCUGGGGGAGCAAACCGGAUUAGAAACCCGAGUAGUCC
rnacentral:rRNA from 1 species